GCCUGGUGGGCUCAGUCAGUAGAGCAUGUGACUCUUGAUUUUGGGGUUGUGAGCUCGAGCCCCACACUGGGUG
rnacentral:tRNA from 1 species